GACAGAGGCCUCGAGCGUUAGGCGGAAUCACUGGGCUUAAAGCGUGUGUAGGCGGAUCGUUAAGUACCUUGUGAAAUCCCACGGCUCAACCGUGGAACGGCUGGGUAUACUGGCGGUCUUGGGCCAUUCAGGGGCGACUGGAACAAGCGGUGGAGCGGUGAAAUGCGUAGAUAUCGUAAGGAAGACCAGUGGCGAAGGCGAGUCUCUGGACAGUUACUGACACUGAGGCACGAAGGCCAGGGGAGCAAACGGG
rnacentral:rRNA from 1 species